rnacentral:rRNA from 1 species
CCUACGGGUGGCAGCAGUGGGGAAUAUUGCGCCAUGGGCGAAAGCCUGACGCCGCGACGCCGCGUGAGGGAUGAAGGUCUUCGGAUCGUAAACCUCUGUCAGCAGGGAAGAACGGUCACUGUGCUAAUCAGCAGUGACUUGACGGUACCUGCAAAGGAAGCACCGGCUAACUCCGUGCCAGCAGCCGCGGUAAUACGGAGGGUGCGAGCGUUAAUCGGAAUUACUGGGCGUAAAGCGCUCGUAGGCGGUAUGUCAAGUCAAGGGUGAAAUCCCCGCGCUCAACGUGGGAACUGCCUUUGAAACUGGCAAACUGGAGUGUGUGAGAGGAUAGUGGAAUUCCAGGUGUAGGAGUGAAAUCCGUAGAUAUCUGGAGGAACAUCAGUGGCGAAGGCGACUAUCUGGCACAUAACUGACGCUGAGGAGCGAAAGCGUGGGUAGCAAACAGGAUUAGAUACCCUAGUAGUC